UACAGAGGGGGCAAGCGUUGUUCGGAAUUACUGGGCGUAAAGGGCGCGUAGGCGCCUUCUAAGUCGAACGUGAAAUCCCCGGGCUCAACCCGGGAACUGCGUCCGAUACUGGAAGGCUUGAAUCCGGGAGAGGGAUGCGGAAUUCCAGGUGUAGCGGUGAAAUGCGUAGAUAUCUGGAGGAACACCGGUGGCGAAGGCGGCUGACCUGGACCGGUUCUGACGCUGAGGCGCGAAAGCGUGGGGAGCAAACAGG
rnacentral:rRNA from 1 species